rnacentral:rRNA from 1 species
UACGAAGGGGGCUAGCGUUGUUCGGAAUUACUGGGCGUAAAGGGCGCGUAGGCGGUGUGUCAAGUCAGGCGUGAAAGCCCCGGGCUCAACCUGGGAACAGCGCUUGAGACUGGCACGCUCGAGUUCGGGAGAGGAUGGUGGAAUUCCCAGUGUAGAGGUGAAAUUCGUAGGUAUUGGGAAGAACACUGAUGGCGAAGGCAGCCAUCUGGACCGACACUGACGCUGAGGCGCGAAAGCGUGGGGAGCAAACAGG